rnacentral:rRNA from 1 species
GACGAACGCUGGCGGCGUGCUUAACACAUGCAAGUCGAACGGAAAGGCCCUGCUUUUGUGGGGUGCUCGAGUGGCGAACGGGUGAGUAACACGUGAGUAACCUGCCCUUGACUUUGGGAUAACUUCAGGAAACUGGGGCUAAUACCGGAUAGGAGCUCCUGCUGCAUGGUGGGGGUUGGAAAGUUUCGGCGGUUGGGGAUGGACUUGCGGCUUAUCAGCUUGUUGGUGGGGUAGUGGCUUACCCAGGCUUUGACGAGUAGCCGGCCUGAGAGGGUGACCGGCCACAUUGGGACUAAGAUACGGCCCAGACUCCUACGGGAGGCAGCAGUGGGGAAUGUUGCAGAAUGGGCGGAAGCCUGAUGCAGCAACGCCGCGUGCGGGAUGACGGCCUUCGGGUUUUAAACCGCUUUCGCCUGUGACGAAGCGUGAGUGACGGUAAUGGGUAAAGAAGCACCGGCUAACUACGUG